ensembl:lncRNA
GGCGACUUUCAUAUUUUCAAAUAAAUUAUUUCCAAGCCUCUUAUUCUCCUAUCUGCUUUGAGAAAUUCCACUCUUGGCUGUGAGAGUGUUCUGUCAGCGGACUGCUCAGAGUACAUUUUCGUAGCUACAGUUGCGCCCUGGAGAAAGGGAAUAAAGAAGACAGUGUCUGGGCUCCUUAGGAGAGGAAAAUGGGGGGUUUGUUAGCCGCACCCCCAACGGCAACUUGUUCAACAAUGGCGUGGUAAAUUAAAAUGGUAACUCUAUGAAGAACACAGUAUGUGUUGCAUAGAAAGGUCCAAUCUGAGGCUGUCUUCUUCUCUUCUGACAAAACAGAUGAUAGCCCCUCAACCAUGCAGUCAGUGGGAACCAUAUAUGGGACUUCUAUACCAACAGCUGGCAGAGGAAGCAGGCCUCCUGGGUCUGUGCGGCAUGCUGCCUUCACACUGUCUUCUCAACGUAUGCGUGACUUCUCUCAUGGAGACAGGACAUGCACAAGGCUUGAAGUACUUGUGCAUAGCAGGUGCUCAAUAAAUGACAGAAUGAGUAAAUGGAUGCAUGAAUGAAUGAAAAAUUGCAUGGAUUUUCUGCAAGGAACAGCAUGAAGUACCCACAAUGACUAGACCUUCUAGAUAUUUCUCCUGGACACUUUCCAUGACUCUACUGAUGCCUGAAAAAGAGGAAGGUAUCUGGAUUUGUUUCAGAAAACUGAGUUUCGCUUUUUGCUCAGAAUGUAUUGUGGCAAUUCUUCCGUGAUGAGGUUUAUAAAAUGCUUUCUUGAAAUAUUUUUGAAACAACGGUGACGCCUGGGCUUCCACCCUACUUGAACCAUUCAUCUAGCUUCGGAUGAUGGACACUUCCCCUUAAUCCUUACUCCAGCCCUCCAAGUUUUCUGAUAUUGAAUGAAGCAAUCCAAAAUUUAUAUGCCAAACGACAGAAAUUACGGAAAGCACUCGAAUGAAUCCCAUCAACUAAUGGAAUUAAAUGUUAAAAUGAACUGAAUUUUCCACGUGUGGGUGGAAACGCACUUGCACUAUGAAUUGAGGAUAAAUUCAGACAACUCAAGGUGAUUCACACCCCGGAGAGGGUCCAAGGAAGACUUGAGGUGAGAGCAUGCGACUCCGGAUACCUCAAAUGAACACGGAUUAUUCCUGCAACCUGCAGGGAGACUUCUACAGAAGAAAAAGAAAAAAAGAAAAAAAGAAAAAAAACAAAAACAAAAACAAAACUCCUUGCUCUGCAUCUCUCUUUUUUCGUAUUCAAGGUCCUCUCUGAAGAACUCUAUCCAUGAGCAAAGUAAUUUCAUCCCUGGCAAGGUCUCGCUAAGCCAUGUGGCUUACUCUAACGCAUCAUUGCCACUGUCAUAGGCUCUGAGAAAUGAGCAUCCCGAAACCGACAGCUCCCCUUGCCUGAAUAAUUUGGCAGGACUAGUCCCAGGGUGCCUCAAUGCCAGUAGGGUUCCCUCUUCGGUCCUGGCACUUAAACACUUGAGACUUUAAGAAAAACUCUUACAGUUAUUUGCUGCUCUGGGCAAGUGAUUAAAAAACUGGGGCAGGACCUCCUCAAGGGCCACAGGACUAGGGUUGGAGAAUGUUGAGCUCUAAAGUGGGAUCUUGGCUCUGACGAAGCGCUCAUCGCCAGCGCGGCCUUGGCACCCAAGUCAAUGCUCUGCUUCUGUCAGGUGCGUCUCGCAGGUAAGCUGCUGUCUUAUUUUUUCUUUUGUUCUGUCUGGCUACUGUUCAUUCCUUGCACAAACAAGUGCUUAUGCUAAUAGCAAGAUAUAACCCAACCUUAAAAAGGGUGCAGUGAUCAGUAUCCAUCAUCUUUCCAAGUGCCUUGUCACUACAUCAAUUAAUACAAUUGAGCAAAAAAUGUCACGGCUGGGUGGAAAAACCUUUUCACAGCGUUUCAGGGGGAAGUUUACUUCCAGCUUUUUCCCCUUGCAUUAGUUCCUGUCAUCUACAAAACAACAGAACCCAGUGGUGUCAAUUAUAUUUGAUUGACUGAGUAAAGCACACACACAAAUAAGCGAAAACAAUGGACACAAAAAUCUAUAUAUGACUCCCCUUGUCAGAGAGAAUGCUUGUCUUCUCCAUUUUCAUGCGGCACGGUGUCCUGCUGCUCCUGGCUUAAAUGUUUCCUGCAGCCCCCAAACUAUCACCAAUUAAGUUAGCAGGGUCUUCAAAGGUGUCAAACGACUCCCUAGGCAAUCGGCUCUAACUGCUGUUCAAUAAAUGAGGUCUAAUUUAUCA